ACGAAGCUGAUUCUGUUUCUAGACUCUCUUAACCAUUGUGUACUGUAUGAUGACUUUUUUUUUUUUUUAAACAAACUUUUUGUUCCAAUCUGGAAGCAAGAAAAAUCCUGUCUUCUGAGACUUUGGGGUAGUAGGGAAUCCAUGAAGCUUGGCCUCUACCCUCUCUCCGUUGGGAGUGCGUGCUGCAUAAGCAACUGCAGUUUGUCUCUCUCCCCCCAAAUGACAUGUGACUCUUACAGUGAGGUCCCUGUGAUUCUUGUCCGAUACUGAAACUGCUGAGAGCAGCUGGAGGAGCACRGGCAUUUUGAUUGCCCCAUGCUGUAGAAGAAAGCCUAAUUGUUAGUUACAGUGUAUGAAUUAAAACCAUGUAUGCAUUUUUGUUAGUUUUGCUAAACUCGACAGUUGUUGCCAAUGAUAGAUGUCUCUCAAAACAGGAAAUUGUUUCCAUUGUGUUUGAUUUUUCAUGAAAAUGUGUGAACACAUAAGUAUUCCUUGUAUUUCCCUCUUCAGCAUAUAACAUCAGUCAUUUCAACACCCCUAAAAGUGAAACAACUCCCUACUGAGAUGGCUCUUAACCAGGCUGAUGUUUAUCUGAUCACUUCCUCAGUCUGCUGCGAGAAAGAAAUCAAGCAUCUUCCUUCACACUGAGUGCUGGCACGUCACAGAAUUCCUCUGGGACUCCACAAAGCAGAAAAAACAGCACAAGCCGGAAUCUGUCCCUGUAUCCUGCAUAAGCUACCCAGCUUUUUUGUUCUCAUACCGGCUCUCCUCACUGCUCAGUUACACUGGGUCAUGUCUACAGUAAAUUUACAGAUUGUAAAUAGGUGGGAACUGGUAUCUGGUUUCUUUAUAAAUACUGUAAAUCAUGGGCAUGG
rnacentral:lncRNA from 1 species